rnacentral:rRNA from 1 species
AUUUUUGUGGAAUUGUCUCUUCAGGUUGGUCAGAUGGCAAGCAUACUAGAUUAUCUUGUUAAAUCAUGUGCCAAGAAGUUGGAAGCUAUCAUUACAGAUGAGGCAGUUCUGAUUCUAGGAGUACAAGAAGACCUCAAACAAAUGCAGCGAACAAUGACCCAGAUACAAUGCUUUCUUGAUGAUGCCGAACAAAGGGGAACACGAGAGUCAGCAGUUAAUAACUGGCUUGGUGAGCUGAGAGGUGAUAUGUAUUAUGCCGACGAUAUUGUCGACUUAGCGAGAUCUGAAGGUGGGAAGCUUCUACUAGAACGGGAUCCUUCAUCAUCAUCAAGAAAGGCAACUAGUACAUGCAGUGGCCUUCCGUUUCUCAAUUGCAUCUCUCCUAUUCAGAAGCGUCACAAGAUUGGUGUUCAAAUCCGGGACUUCAAUGCUCAACUUGACAAGAUUUCAAAGUUGGGUGAAAGAUUUCUCAAGCUUGAAAAUAUGCAGCCUAAACCACAAGCUCUGACUGUGAAGCAUGUAAGAACUAGCCACCUUGUGGAGCCUAAUCUUGUGGGAAAGGAAACUUUACAUGCUUGCAAAAGUUUGGUUGAACUGGUUCUUGCACACAAGGGAAAGAAGCCAUACAAGGUUGGUAUUGUUGGAACAGGAGGGAUUGGGAAGACAACUCUAGCCCAAAAAGUAUAUAAUGACCGAGAAUUAAAAGGAACCUUUAGCAACCAAGCAUGGAUAUGUGUUUCUCAGGAGUACUCUGAAAUAUCUCUUUUGAAGGAAGUUCUGCGGAAUUUUGGGGUACCCCAUGAGCAAGAUGAAACUGUGGGAGAGCUCAGCAGCAAGCUUGCAGUCGCCAUCACAGAUAAAAGUUUCUUCAUUGUGUUGGACGAUGUUUGGCAGCCUGCGGUCUGGACCAAUUUACUGAGAACUCCAUUACAUGCUGCUGCAAGAGGAGUAAUUCUAGUGACCACUCGGCAUGAUACAGUUGCACAUGCAAUUGGCGUAGAAGAUGUACAUCGAGUUGAAUUGAUGUCAGCAGAUAUAGGGUGGGAGCUGCUUUGGAAGAGUAUGAACAUUGAUGAAGAAAGAGAUGUGGAAAACCUUCGGAAUAUAGGGGUAGAAAUUGUCCAUAAAUGUGGUGGACUUCCUCUCGCAAUCAAGGUUACUGCUAGUGUUCUAGCAACUAAAGAGAAAAGUGAGAGGGAAUGGAGAAAGGUUGCAAAAAGAAGUGCUUGGUCUAGGGGUAAUCUCCAAACUUGA